GAUGAACGCUGGCGGCGUGCCUAAUACAUGCAAGUCGAGCGAACGGACGAGAAGCUUGCUUCUCUGAUGUUAGCGGCGGACGGGUGAGUAACACGUGGAUAACCUACCUAUAAGACUGGGAUAACUUCGGGAAACCGGAGCUAAUACCGGAUCAUAUUUUGAACCGCAUGGUUCAAAAGUGAAAGGCGGUCUUGCUGUCACUUAUCGAUGGAUCCGCGCUGCAUUAGCUAGUUGGUAAGGUAACGGCUUACCAAGGCAACGAUGCAUAGCCGACCUGAGAGGGUGAUCGGCCACACUGGAACUGAGACGCGGUCCAGACUCCUACGGGAGGCAGCAGUAGGGAAUCUUCCGCAAUGGGCGAAAGCCUGACGGAGCAACGUCGCGUGAGUGAUGAAGGUCUUCGGAUCGUAAAACUCUGUUAUUAGGGAAGAACAUAUGUGUAAGUAACUGUGCACAUCUUGACGGUACCUAAGCAGAAAGCCACGGCUAACUACGUG
rnacentral:rRNA from 1 species